GAUGAAGAACGUAGCGAAAUGCGAUAAGUAAUGUGAAUUGCAGAAUUCAGUGAAUCAUCGAAUCUUUGAACGCACAUUGCGCCCGCCAGUAUUCUGGCGGGCAUGCCUGUCCGAGCGUCAUUUCAACCCUCGAACCCCUCCGGGGGGUCGGCGUUGGGGAUCGGCCCUCCCUUAGCGGGUGGCCGUCUCCGAAAUACAGUGGCGGUCUCGCCGCAGCCUCUCCUGCGCAGUAGUUUGCACACUCGCAUCGGGAGCGCGGCGCGUCCACAGCCGUUAAACACCCAACUUCUGAUAUGUUGACCUCGGAUCAGGUAGGAAUACCCGCUGAACUUAAGCAUAUCAAUAAGCGGAGGA
rnacentral:misc_RNA from 1 species